CAGGAUUAGAUACCCUGGUAGUCCACGCCGUAAACGAUGUCUACUUGGAGGUUGUGCCCUUGAGGCGUGGCUUCCGGAGCUAACGCGUUAAGUAGACCGCCUGGGGAGUACGGCCGCAAGGUUAAAACUCAAAUGAAUUGACGGGGGCCCGCACAAGCGGUGGAGCAUGUGGUUUAAUUCGAUGCAACGCGAAGAACCUUACCUGGUCUUGACAUCCACAGAACUUUCCAGAGAUGGAUUGGUGCCUUCGGGAACUGUGAGACAGGUGCUGCAUGGCUGUCGUCAGCUCGUGUUGUGAAAUGUUGGGUUAAGUCCCGCAACGAGCGCAACCCUUAUCCUUUGUUGCCAGCGGUUAGGCCGGGAACUCAAAGGAGACUGCCAGUGAUAAACUGGAGGAAGGUGGGGAUGACGUCAAGUCAUCAUGGCCCUUACGACCAGGGCUACACACGUGCUACAAUGGCGCAUACAAAGAGAAGCGACCUCGCGAGAGCAAGCGGACCUCAUAAAGUGCGUCGUAGUCCGGAUUGGAGUCUGCAACUCGACUCCAUGAAGUCGGAAUCGCUAGUAAUCGUGGAUCAGAAUGCCACGGUGAAUACGUUCCCGGGCCUUGUACACACCGCCCGUCACACCAUGGGAGUGGGUUGCAAAAGAAGUAGGUAGCUUAACCUUCGGGAGGGCGCUUACCACUUUGUGAUUCAUGACUGGGGUGAAGUCGUAACAAGGUAACCGUAGGGGAACCUGC
rnacentral:rRNA from 1 species